rnacentral:rRNA from 1 species
UACGUAGGUGGCGAGCGUUGUCCGGAUUUACUGGGCGUAAAGGGAGCGUAGGCGGACUUUUAAGUGAGAUGUGAAAUACUCGGGCUCAACUUGAGUGCUGCAUUUCAAACUGGAAGUCUAGAGUGCAGGAGAGGAGAAUGGAAUUCCUAGUGUAGCGGUGAAAUGCGUAGAGAUUAGGAAGAACACCAGUGGCGAAGGCGAUUCUCUGGACUGUAACUAACGCUGAGGCUCGAAAGCGUGGGGAGCAAACAGG